CAGUAUUUCAUCUUUUCCAAACAACCGAGUAAAUUUACAGCUCAUUCAAGUGCCACUGGUCUGUUUUUGGAGAAUUUCAUCUUUAAGGUGCUGUGAGAAAGAGCCAUGUCUCCCGUGCCGCCACUGAUGAUGACAUUACAAAACACGUAAUACGGUGGUUCAACUUGGCAGCAGAUAGGGGAAACUCAAGGAGCCGUCCCACUGUCAGCACCCAACAGUAGCGUUUCGGUGUUUCACAGUUAACUUCUGUGUUUUGAAGUGUUCGUUUAACAGUUAAGUAGUAACAGUUGAGAUAAAGUUUACUACUUUAAAUAGUUUUGUUUCUAUUCAUCUUCAAAAA